rnacentral:rRNA from 1 species
GCGUGCUUAACACAUGCAAGUCGAACGGAAAGGCCCUGCUUUUGUGGGGUGCUCGAGUGGCGAACGGGUGAGUAACACGUGAGUAACCUGCCCUUGACUUUGGGAUAACUUCAGGAAACUGGGGCUAAUACCGGAUAGGAGCUCCUGCUGCAUGGUGGGGGUUGGAAAGUUUCGGCGGUUGGGGAUGGACUCGCGGCUUAUCAGCUUGUUGGUGGGGUAGUGGCUUACCAAGGCUUUGACGGGUAGCCGGCCUGAGAGGGUGACCGGCCACAUUGGGACUGAGAUACGGCCCAGACUCCUACGGGAGGCAGCAGUGGGGAAUAUUGCACAAUGGGCGGAAGCCUGAUGCAGCAACGCCGCGUGCGGGAUGGCGGCCUUCGGGUUGUAAACCGCUUUCGCCUGUGACGAAGCGUGAGUGACGGUACCUGUAUAAGAAGCACCGGCUAACUACGUGCCAGCAGCCGCGGU